UGCCAGCAGCCGCGGUAAGACGGAGGGGGCUAGCGUUGUUCAGAAUUACUGGGCGUAAAGCGCGCGUAGGUGGUUCAGUAAGAUGGAAGUGAAAUCCCCGGGCUUAACCUGGGAACUGCUUUCAUAACUGCUGAGCUAGAGUACGGUAGAGGGUAGUGGAAUUUCCUGUGUAGCGGUGAGAUGCGUAGAUAUAGGAAGGAACACCAGUGGCGAAGGCGACUACCUGGACUGAUACUGACACUGAGGUGCGAAAGCGUGGGGAGCAAACAGGAUUAGAUA
rnacentral:rRNA from 1 species